AGUCAUGGCACGGGUUCAACACAAACUUGAGGAGGAAAUCAAACACCAUGCCAAGACCAACACAACAUUUAUGAACUUCAUCAGGCGCAUUAUGGAAGAUCUGCUAAAGAAAACAAUACAGAAAACCACUAUUGGUGUGUUUGGAAAGACAG